rnacentral:rRNA from 1 species
AUGAACGCUGGCGGUAUGCUUAACACAUGCAAGUCGAACGGUCUCUUAGGAGAUAGUGGCGGACGGGUGAGUAACGCGUGAGAAUCUGGCUCUAGGUUCGGGACAACCACUGGAAACGGUGGCUAAUACCGGAUGUGCCGAGAGGUGAAAGGUUAACUGCCUGGAGAUGAGCUCGCGUCUGAUUAGCUAGUUGGUGGUGUAAGGGACUACCAAGGCGACGAUCAGUAGCUGGUCUGAGAGGAUGAUCAGCCACACUGGAACUGAGACACGGUCCAGACUCCUACGGGAGGCAGCAGUGGGGAAUUUUCCGCAAUGGGCGAAAGCCUGACGGAGCAAUACCGCGUGAGGGAGGAAGGCUCUUGGGUUGUAAACUUCUUUUCUCAGGGAAUAAGCAAGUGAAGGUACCUGAGGAAUCAGCAUCGGCUAACUCCGUGCCAGCAGCCGCGGUAAUACGGAGGAUGCAAGCGUUAUCCGGAAUGAUUGGGCGUAAAGCGUCCGUAGGUGGCUGUGUGUGUCUAUUGUUAAAGAGUUUGGCUCAACCAAAUAAGGGCGGUAGAAACUACACAGCUAGAGUGCGUUCGGGGCAGAGGGAAUUCCUGGUGUAGCGGUGAAAUGCGUAGAGAUCAGGAAGAACACCGGUGGCGAAAGCGCUCUGCUAGGCCGCAACUGACACUGAGGGACGAAAGCUAGGGGAGCGAAUGGGAUUAGAUACCCCAGUAGUCCUAGCCGUAAACGAUGGAUACUAGGCGCUGAGGGUAUCGACCCUCUCAGUGCCGUAGCUAACGCGUUAAGUAUCCCGCCUGGGGAGUACGCACGCAAGUGUGAAACUCAAAGGAAUUGACGGGGGCCCGCACAAGCGGUGGAGUAUGUGGUUUAAUUCGAUGCAACGCGAAGAACCUUACCAGGGCUUGACAUGUCUGGAAUCUUCCUGAAAGGGAAGAGUGCCUUCGGGAACCGGAACACAGGUAGUGCAUGGCUGUCGUCAGCUCGUGUCGUGAGAUGUUGGGUUAAGUCCCGCAACGAGCGCAACCCUCGUACUUAGUUGCCAGCACUUCGGGUGGGCACUCUAAGGAGACUGCCGGUGACAAACCGGAGGAAGGUGGGGAUGACGUCAAGUCAGCAUGCCCCUUACGUCCUGGGCUACACACGUACUACAAUGCUACGGACAAAGGGCAGCGAGACUGCGAAGUCAAGCAAAUCUCGGAAACCGUAGCUCAGUUCAGAUCGCAGGCUGCAACUCGCCUGCGUGAAGGAGGAAUCGCUAGUAAUUGCAGGUCAGCAUACUGCAGUGAAUUCGUUCCCGGGCCUUGUACACACCGCCCGUCACACCAUGGAAGCUGGUCACGCCCGAAGUCGUUACCCUAACCGUUCGCGGAGGGGGACGCCGAAGGUAGGACUGGUGACUGGGGUG